GAUGAACGCUAGCGGCAGGCUUAAUACAUGCAAGUCGAGGGGCAGCACAGAUAGCAAUAUUGGGUGGCGACCGGCAAACGGGUGCGGAACACGUACACAACCUUCCUUUUGGUGGGGGAUAGCCUUUGGAAACGGAGAUUAAUACCCCAUAAGAUAUUGUGACCGCAUGGUUAUGAUAUUAAAGCUUUAUUGCCAGAAGAUGGGUGUGCGUAUGAUUAGGUAGUUGGUGAGGUAAAGGCUCACCAAGCCGACGAUCAUUAACUGGUGUGAGAGCGCGACCAGUCACAGGGGCACUGAGACACGGGCCCGACUCCUACGGGAGGCAGCGGUAAGGAAUAUUGGUCAAUGGACGGAAGUCUGAACCAGCCAUGCCGCGUGGAGGAUGAAGGUCCUCUGGAUUGUAAACUUCUUUUAUAUGGGGCGAAAAAGGGCCAUUCUUGGUCAACUGACGGUACCAUAUGAAUAAGCACCGGCUAACUCCGUGCCAGCAGCCGCCGUAAUAC
rnacentral:rRNA from 1 species